rnacentral:lncRNA from 1 species
UUGAAGGCAAAGUGGGUCUUCAAUAUUUACUUUUCUUUGAGCAGACUCCCACGUAAGGGGUUCAGUUAUUUCACCCCCUCUGCUUGCGAGAUGGUUUCAAAGGAAUCCUCUUUUUCCUUGGCUCUUGACGCACAGUGUUCUUCUACCAGAAGCUAAAGGCAGCUCCCGUUGAUUUUGCCAUAUUUUUUGAAAUUCCUUUUGGAUUUGUCAGCCGUUGAUUUCCAAACGAAGAUGGGUAAGCUUGGUGGAAUUCAAACUCUUUUGAAUUAUUCUAAUUUAUCUUCUUUCCUUAAACUGUAGAGACCUUUUUAUGUAGGUCACAGACUCUCUUUUCUUUCUGCUGUACCAUCUUGCUUAUGCUUCUCUUGUGUACCGAAAAUUCAAAGUGAAAAGGAGAAAAUAACCAGCAGGUCAUACCAUUUUCGUUUUCUAUUUUCUGUACUUGAUUUGGAGUGGGUUGAAGCUGCUCUGAACUAUGAUAAAUUUUUUUAUGUAGGCGUCGCAGGCUUGGCUGUUGGAUACACUAUUUGCAGUACCGAGUUCGUUGAAAACAAUUAUUGACUCAUGGCUCCAAAGGUGAGAUUCUGCAUUUAGAAGUUUGUAGUAACGUGCUCAUAGUAUCUGCUAUACUUUUGAAUGGGUUUUGAUGUAUUAUCACUCUCUGGCAUUUCUGUUUCCGCAUAAAGGAUUAUUUGACUGGUCUUAACAGUGGACAUUUGGACACCUCUUUUGUGUUCCCAUUUAUGUUUUGCCUCUGAUAUUUAACACUUGCAUAAAGUGAUACUUUUCCCAAAAUCUUUUGUAGUCUUGAUUUGUCUUCUAGUUCUUUGGGUGUUAAUAUGAAGGCUGCCAUGUGGGUGAGUUUUCUGAUUAAUUUGGAAGGUUUGACAGUAAACUUUUUUCUUUUUUUUUUUUAUUGAACUUGAGACAGCUUGAACCCUUUUUAAUCUAACUUUUCCGUGGUAAGGGAACAAAUGUCCUUUAGCUAUGUAUUUAGAGGUUGGCAUGGUCAACAUUUUUGACCCAAUGUUUGAUCAAACUGAUAGUCACACUUAGGUCCUUCGAAAGACGUCUUCUUCUUUUCCUUUGUCUUUAUUAAAAGUUGAUUUGAAGAAUUUUUCUUUUGUGGAAUUGGACCAAGCAUGAGUCGGUCAAGGGCAGUUUUGGCUUCCUUUUCCUUUGCUAACCAUCUUUUCCAUUUUCUCCUUUUUCUUGGACUUUAUCCCCAAUAAGUUUUCAUAUAAUUUUUAGCCAAAGCCAUCCUCCAUGUUUUGUACCCGUGGGUAGCAAAAACAAAAACACCAAAUAGAAUAAUUUAUUUUCUCUUUCUUGAGUUGCAUCUUUGUAUAUGUUGACUCCUUGCUGUCUUACUUCUCAGGAACUCAAGCUUAGAACUUUGAAAUUGCACUUGACAAUCUGGCGAAUGAGUAGACCAUUUAAACUUGGUUAAAAUUUCACGGGGUGGUCUAGGCCACCCCGAAGAAAUUCAUGGGAUUCUUGGAGAUUAUCUCUGCUGCAGCUGGGGAGUCAGUGGAUAUUUAGAGUCUCCAACUCCAUUUAAUUGGUGAAGAACGCCAAACAAAGAGGCAAAGGUCUUAUAUGCUCUUGCUUGUUUCCCUUUCCUCAUUCAUUGCAGCUUUUUAUUUUUGUGUUUGCUGCCACAAUUUUUUUUGUUCUUCUUGCAACAUAACAUCAAACAAGAGAAAAAGAAUAAUUUUAAAAGAACUUGCUUCAUACCUGGUGAUGAAUGUUCUUCUUUUGGAUCUUGAUUCAAAAGCACAAAAUGGUUGAAUAGCUUGCUCUCUUUCCUGGCAGCACCUUGUUGCUUUUGGUAUUUUCUCUAAAAGUUGCUUCUUAUUUUCUACAGAGUUUCCCCUCUUUUUUCUGUCUCCUCCCUUUUUACUUGCUGCAGGUGAUGCUUAUUUAUAGGCAUCCUAGGAAAGCUCUAGAAUUUGUUACGUGGGGGAGAGGUAGAGGCCAUGACCUCCUGCCACUUUCUGUUAACCACCAUUUCUGACUCCACGUUCCUUUUUGUUUGCAGAAAAUGGGGAGCACCUUUUUUUUUCUUUUGUGCACGUUACUUCCCCCCUUUUGUAGGAGAAAAUAAAUUUUAUUUGUGGGUAAAAGCCCAUCCUCAUCUUUUGGGCUUGGAUUACACCUUGUAGUUUGACCCCAUUUGUGUGGACUCUAUUUUUUCAUAUGUUUAUUAUUAUUAUUUUGUUUUUGUUCAACACCCCUAUGUACCCUAGUUUGGUUAUAUGUUAUUUCCCUUAAGUUUGAAUGGUUUUGGGAGGUCUUUGGGUGAAAAAUGUUCAUGGAGAUUUUUGAAUUUUUCAUGAAUGUUCUUCAUUGUUCUUGAUAUUUUAGCAAAGAACAAAAAGUUUGGUGUUUUGAUUCAAAGUUUUGAUUUAUUUCAUAAAGUUUUUGUUUUGUGCUUUUCAAAUGUUUAAAUGUGUUAGAUAUUUAUUUAGAAAGGUGAUAGAAAUAUUGAUGGGUGUGUAAGGAUUAAUUCCCUUUCACACACACCACUUGCAUGACUUUUGUGUCAUGCACCUCAUGCAUGACUUUAUGUCAAAACUACAAAUCAACACACACAUCACUCCCUUUAAUAUCUAAAACCGGCCACCCUAUUAAAAUAGGGUACUUUUGGGGCUUUUAUGCAAUUACAUUUGUGUAUUUGCACUUUGGCCCAAAAGUUUAUGUUUUUACGUUUAGGUCCAAAAAUGCUAAAGGACAAAUAGUUUUGUUCCUUUAAUGAAGUUUUUGUAUUUGUUGAAAUUUUUAGGUUCUAGUUGUAAUUACAUGAAGUAGUGGACUUUUGUGUUUUUACAAAGUGACCCCAAAAGUUUGUGUUUCGCAAUAUAGCCCAAAAAGUUGUGGUUAUUGCAUGUUGGCCCAAAUUAGGUAGAGAACAAAAUUGUUUUGUCUCUUUAAAUGAGAAUUGGAUUUUCAUUUCAUUUAGCU